AAGGAUCAUUACCGAGUUAAGGGUUUUCUCCCUCCCCCCCUUCCUUUUCUGUCGGUGGGGGGCGGGGGGGGGGACCUGAUCUCUUCUUCACUGUGUUGCAUCGGACCCUGUUGCUUCAGCGGGUGGGGGAGAGAGAGAGAGAGUGAUGCCGUGCUAGCUAGCUCAGCCGGCCGCUUCUCUCUCUCCACCGCCAAUACCCGCUGGAGACUCGUUGAAAUACCGAUAUCGUCAGCAAGAGAGACUGUCUGAGUGAAAAAGCCAAUCAGUUAAGAAAACUUUCAACAAUGGAUCUCUUGGUUCCGGCAUCGAUGAAGAACGCAGCAAAAUGCGAUAAGUAAUGUGAAUUGCAGAAUUCCGUGAAUCAUCGAAUCUUUGAACGCAUAUUGCGCCCUCCGGUAUUCCGGAGGGCAUGCCUGUCCGAGUGUCAUUGCCUUCCCUCCAAGGCCCCUCUUAGAGGCUUUGGAUGUUGGGCCGUUUUGUCCCCUUGCUUCUCCGGGGGGACAGGCCUGAAAGACAGUGGCGAUGCCGUAGUCAACCCCUGAGCGUAUGGGUGUUUUCCGCUCUCUAGGCUUGAUUGGCAUCCGCCGUCCUCCUGCACUGCAUGCAGUGUUUGACUCCAGUGGACCUCGGAUCAGGUAAGGAUNCCCGCUGAACUUAA
rnacentral:rRNA from 1 species